rnacentral:pre_miRNA from 1 species
UUGAUCAGAAAUGCAGCUUCAGAGAAAUCACUGUGAAAAUGCAUUAUCUGGCCAAGAA